rnacentral:rRNA from 1 species
ACGUGGGUAAUCUACCUUUUAGUGAGGAAUAACCGAGGGAAACUUUGGCUAAUACCGCAUAAGCCUGAGAAGGGAAAGCAGAAAUGCGCUGAAAGAGGAGCCCGCGGCCGAUUAGCUAGUUGGUGGGGUAAGAGCCCACCAAGGCAGAGAUCGGUAGCCGGCCUGAGAGGGCACACGGCCACACUGGCACUGAAACACGGGCCAGACUCCUACGGGAGGCAGCAGUGGGGAAUCUUGCACAAUGGGGGAAACCCUGAUGCAGCGACGCCGCGUGAGCGAUGAAGCCCUUCGGGGUGUAAA